CAGGAUGGACCCGCGUCUGAUUAGCUAGUUGGUAAGGUAACGGCUUACCAAGGCGACGAUCAGUAGCCGACCUGAGAGGGUGAUCGGCCACAUUGGAACUGAGACACGGUCCAAACUCCUACGGGAGGCAGCAGUGGGGAAUAUUGCACAAUGGGCGAAAGCCUGAUGCAGCAACGCCGCGUGAGUGAUGAAGGCCUUCGGGUCGUAAAACUCUGUCCUCAAGGAAGAUAAUGACGGUACUUGAGGAGGAAGCCCCGGCUAACUACGUGCCAGCAGCCGCGGUAAUACGUAGGGGGCUAGCGUUAUCCGGAUUUACUGGGCGUAAAGGGUGCGUAGGCGGUCUUUCAAGUCAGGAGUGAAAGGCUACGGCUCAACCGUAGUAAGCUCUUGAAACUGGGAGACUUGAGUGCAGGAGAGGAGAGUGGAAUUCCUAGUGUAGCGGUGAAAUGCGUAGAUAUUAGGAGGAACACCAGUUGCGAAGGCGGCUCUCUGGACUGUAACUGACGCUGAGGCACGAAAGCGUGGGGAGCAAACAGGAUUAGAUACCCUGGUAGUCCACGCUGUAAACGAUGAGUACUAGGUGUCGGGGGUUACCCCCUUCGGUGCCGCAGCUAACGCAUU
rnacentral:rRNA from 1 species